GCAAGUCGAACGAACUCUGGUAUUGAUUGGUGCUUGCAUCAUGAUUUACAUUUGAGUGAGUGGCGAACUGGUGAGUAACACGUGGGAAACCUGCCCAGAAGCGGGGGAUAACACCUGGAAACAGAUGCUAAUACCGCAUAACAACUUGGACCGCAUGGUCCGAGUUUGAAAGAUGGCUUCGGCUAUCACUUUUGGAUGGUCCCGCGGCGUAUUAGCUAGAUGGUGGGGUAACGGCUCACCAUGGCAAUGAUACGUAGCCGACCUGAGAGGGUAAUCGGCCACAUUGGGACUGAGACACGGCCCAAACUCCUACGGGAGGCAGCAGUAGGGAAUCUUCCACAAUGGACGAAAGUCUGAUGGAGCAACGCCGCGUGAGUGAAGAAGGGUUUCGGCUCGUAAAACUCUGUUGUUAAAGAAGAACAUAUCUGAGAGUAACUGUUCAGGUAUUGACGGUAUUUAACCAGAAAGCCACGGCUAACUACGUGCCAGCAGCCGCGGUAAUACGUAGGUGGCAAGCGUUGUCCGGAUUUAUUGGGCGUAAAGCGAGCGCAGGCGGUUUUUUAAGUCUGAUGUGAAAGCCUUCGGCUCAACCGAAGAAGUGCAUCGGAAACUGGGAAACUUGAGUGCAGAAGAGGACAGUGGAACUCCAUGUGUAGCGGUGAAAUGCGUAGAUAUAUGGAAGAACACCAGUGGCGAAGGCGGCUGUCUGGUCUGUAACUGACGCUGAGGCUCGAAAGUAUGGGUAGCAAACAGGAUUAGAUACCCUGGUAGUCCAUACCGUAAACGAUGAAUGCUAAGUGUUGGAGGGUUUCCGCCCUUCAGUGCUGCAGCUAACGCAUUAAGCAUUCCGCCUGGGGAGUACGGCCGCAAGGCUGAAACUCAAAGGAAUUGACGGGGGCCCGCACAAGCGGUGGAGCAUGUGGUUUAAUUCGAAGCUACGCGAAGAACCUUACCAGGUCUUGACAUACUAUGCAAAUCUAAGAGAUUAGACGUUCCCUUCGGGGACAUGGAUACAGGUGGUGCAUGGUUGUCGUCAGCUCGUGUCGUGAGAUGUUGGGUUAAGUCCCGCAACGAGCGCAACCCUUAUUAUCAGUUGCCAGCAUUAAGUUGGGCACUCUGGUGAGACUGCCGGUGACAAACCGGAGGAAGGUGGGGAUGACGUCAAAUCAUCAUGCCCCUUAUGACCUGGGCUACACACGUGCUACAAUGGAUGGUACAACGAGUUGCGAACUCGCGAGAGUAAGCUAAUCUCUUAAAGCCAUUCUCAGUUCGGAUUGUAGGCUGCAACUCGCCUACAUGAAGUCGGAAUCGCUAGUAAUCGCGGAUCAGCAUGCCGCGGUGAAUACGUUCCCGGGCCUUGUACACACCGCCCGUCACACCAUGAGAGUUUGUAACACCCAAAGUCGGUGGGGUAACCUUUUAGGAACCAGCCGCC
rnacentral:rRNA from 3 species